rnacentral:lncRNA from 1 species
UAGAGAAUGAGUUCACUGAACACGAUCAACGAAGAGUUCUCAUAUUCAUGUCACAUGAGAACUCAUGGUUGGGAUAAUGCAAAGUAGUCCUUUGACCUGAGGCAUCAUAGUUGUCUUGUGGUUAAGUCAUUGAUCUUUGAUUAUGUCAAAGUCACUCCAUCAGGAGGGUGUCCACGGCAUAGUUGGGGUUAAGCCACUUAGCUAUGGAGGCAAGUGAAUGUGCAGCAAGGGAUCUCUAACCUUCAAACUGUUUGAGGGAGAAUACUCUAUGAUAUGAUUAAGAAUCUCUGGCCAGAGUAUGAAUGAGAUUUAGGAAAGU